rnacentral:rRNA from 1 species
UACGAAGGGGGGCUAGCGUUGCUCGGAAUUACUGGGCGUAAAGGGCGCGUAGGCGGACAGUUUAGUCAGAGGUGAAAGCCCAGGGCUCAACCUUGGAAUUGCCUUUGAUACUGGCUGUCUUGAGUUCGGGAGAGGUGAGUGGAAUGCCGAGUGUAGAGGUGAAAUUCGUAGAUAUUCGGCGGAACACCAGUGGCGAAGGCGGCUUUUUGGUCUGUAACUGACGCUGAGGCGCGAAAGCGUGGGGAGCAAACAGGG